rnacentral:rRNA from 1 species
UCUAGAGCUAAUACAUGCGCCCAAACCCGACUUCGUGGAAGGGUUGUGUUUAUUAGAUACAGAACCAACCCAGGUUCGCCCUGGUAUUGUGGUGAUUCAUAGUAACCGAACGAAUCGCAUAGCUUCCGCUGGCGAUAAAUCAUUCAAGUUUCUGACCUAUCAGCUUCCGACGGUAGGGUAUUGGCCUACCGUGGCAAUGACGGGUAAUUCCAGCUCCAAUAGCGUAUAUUAAAGUUGUUGCGGUUAAAAAGCUCGUAGUUGGAUUUCUGCCGAGGACGACCGGUCCGCCCUCUGGGUGCGUAUCUGGCUCGGCCUGGGCAUCUUCUUGGAGAACGUAUCUGCACUUGACUGUGUGGUGCGGUAUCCAGGACUUUUACUUUGAGGAAAUUAGAGUGUUUCAAGCAGGCACACGCCUUGAAUACAUUAGCAUGGAAUAAUAAGAUAGGACCUCGGUUCUAUUUUGUUGGUUUCUAGA